GGUCACAAUCAGGCCCGAGGGUUUCCAGGCCAACUGUGGGGGCGGAGGGAGAGCUCCAAAGGGAGAGAGAGCAGUGGGUAGGAGGAAGCUGCAGGCUUGCUGAGCUGUCCCGGCACAGUGCUAGCGGGCCCAGGAGCAGUGUUCCUUUCCCAGCACCCCACCGCCGGCCCCACUCUGGGCCAGGCAGCAGGACACACAUUAGGGACAGAUGGCACUGGAGCCAGCCACCAGCCUUUAUCCCCAUGCACCUGGAAAGCCAGAGUCACAGAGGACAGUAGUUUCUGACAAGGAUUAUUUCUAUCUUUUUCAAGGAUGCUUCUAUGAGCAGGGCCAGGCUGGAUGCCCCUCCCUGUGGCCAGUCUCUGGAGAUGAAGCUCAGAGAGGUCAAACGUCUCAGAGGUCACACAGCAGGGAGAGGCAGCUGGUUUUCCGGACUUCAAAUGUCAAGUUCAGACUCUUCGCCACUCCCUUCCAUCCCUCUUGGACGUCUCUGGAACCCCAGGAACCUCCCAGUGUUCUGCGAAGCUUGGGAGCUCCGAGCGGGAGUGCACCUCACGAACAGCUGUAGCUGUCUGCCAGUCCCACUGCCCGGGCUCGCUGUGGGCCCAUGGCGCCCCCUUGCGCUCGUGGUCGGAUGCUCACCCGCUCCUCACCCGACAGGACUCCAGCCAGGCUCCUGGCUCCUCUGCCUCAACCUGCAAGUGUGCAGGAGAAGGUUGACUGGCUGCAGAAAGGGUGACAUGAGGUGACACAGGGUUUUGAUUUGCAUAUUAUACUCUUGGUAAACUAAAGCACGCUGUGCACUCGGCCCCAGCGCUUGGACACCACUGCAGUUUCCCCUGUGCUUCCAACCCUGUUCUUUUUUAAAAUUAUUUUUUAUUGGAAUAAAGUUAACAUAUUAGUAUA